AUUCGAUGAUAGUUUUAUCUGCACAGAAAAGCACCAGCUACCAGAGUUAUGGACAGAAGUACAAAACACAGGGAUCUAUUCUAAAGUGGGAAGGUGGCUCCUGUUUCUGAGAAGAUGAGCAGGGUUUUUAAGAAAAUGGCAUUUGUACUAGACCAGAGGGGAAAAAAGCCAACAGUCAGAUCAGUUCUGCUGGCCAUGACACAAAGUGGAAAUGGGUGU